AUUGAACGCUGGCGGCAGGCCUAACACAUGCAAGUCGAACGCGUGGCGGACGGGGGAGUAAUGUCUGGGAAACUGCGCGCAGGAGGGGGAUAACUACUGGAAACGGUAGCGAAUACCGCAUACACUCGGGUAUGCCCAGAUGGGAUUAGCUUGUAGGUGAGGUAAAGGCUCACCAAGGCGACGAGCACUAGCUGGGCUGAGAGGAGGACCAGCCAGACUGGAACUGAGACACGGUCCAGACUCCUACGGGAGGCAGCAGUGGGGAAUAUUGGACAAUGGGCGAAAGCCUGAUGCAGCCAUGCCGCGUGUAUGAAGAAGGCCUUCGGGUUGUAAAGUACUUUCGGCGGGGAGGCGUUACCCGCAGAAGAAGCACCGGCUAACUCCGUGCCAGCAGCCGCGGUAAUUC
rnacentral:rRNA from 1 species